rnacentral:rRNA from 1 species
CCUACGGGGGGCAGCAGUGAGGAAUAUUGGUCAAUGGACGAGAGUCUGAACCAGCCAAGUAGCGUGAAGGAUGACUGCCCUAUGGGUUGUAAACUUCUUUUAUAUGGGAAUAAAAUGUUCCACGUGUGGGAUUUUGUAUGUACCAUAUGAAUAAGGAUCGGCUAACUCCGUGCCAGCAGCCGCGGUAAUACGGAGGAUCCGAGCGUUAUCCGGAUUUAUUGGGUUUAAAGGGAGCGUAGGUGGAUUGUUAAGUCAGUUGUGAAAGUUUGCGGCUCAACCGUAAAAUUGCAGUUGAAACUGGCAGUCUUGAGUACAGUAGAGGUGGGCGGAAUUCGUGGUGUAGCGGUGAAAUGCUGAGAUAUCACGAAGAACUCCGAUUGUGAAGGCAGUUCACUGGACUGCAACUGACACUGAGGCUCGAAAGUGUGGGUAUCAAACAGGAUUAGAUACCCCUGUAGUC